rnacentral:rRNA from 1 species
CUGCUAAAUAGCCAGGCUAGCUUUGGCUGGUCGCCGGCUUCUUAGAGGGACUAUCGGCUCAAGCCGAUGGAAGUUUGAGGUAAUAAUAGGUUUGUGAUGUUUUUAGAUGUUCUGGGUUGUAUGUGUGCUACAUUGAUAGAGCCAACGAGUUAUUCACCUUGGCCGGAAGGUCUG